rnacentral:rRNA from 1 species
UGGUACAAUGCGAAGCGAAGCAGUGAUGUGAAGCAAAUCGCACCAAAGCCAGUCCCAGUUCGGAUAAGAGGCUGAAACUCGCCUCUUUGAAGUCGGAAUCGCUAGUAAUCGCAGAUCAGCAUGUUGCGGUGAAUACGUUCCCGGGUCUUGUACACACCGCCCGUCAAACCAUGAGAGUCACCAACACCCGAAGUCCGCCUUGGCGGCCUAAGGUGGGGGAGAUGAUUGGGGUUAAGUCGUAACAAGGUAUC